AGAUUGAACGCUGGCGGCAUGCCUUACACAUGCAAGUCGAACGGUAGAGUAGCAAUACUUGAGAGUGGCGAACGGGUGAGUAAUAUAUCGGAACGUGCCCAGUCGUGGGGGAUAACGUAGAGAAAUUUACGCUAAUACCGCAUACGAUCUAAGGAUGAAAGCGGGGGACCGUAAGGCCUCGCGCGAUUGGAGCGGCUGAUAUCAGAUUAGCUUGUUGGUGAGGUAAAAGCUACACCAAGGCGACGAUCUGUAGCUGGUUUGAGAGAACGACCAGCCACACUGGGACUGAGACGCGGCCCAGACUCCUACGGGAGGCAGCAGUGGGGAAUUUUGGACAAUGGGCGUAAAGCCUAGAUCCAGCAAUGCCGCGUGAGUGAUGAAGGCCUUACGGU
rnacentral:rRNA from 1 species